rnacentral:tRNA from 2 species
CGCGGGGUGGAGCAGCUUGGUAGCUCGUCGGGCUCAUAACCCGAAGGUCGUUGGUUCAAAUCCAGCUCCCGCAA